rnacentral:misc_RNA from 1 species
GAUGAAGAACGCAGCGAAAUGCGAUAAGUAAUGUGAAUUGCAGAAUUCAGUGAAUCAUCGAAUCUUUGAACGCACAUUGCGCCCAUUAGUAUUCUAGUGGGCAUGCCUGUUCGAGCGUCAUUUCAACCCUCAAGCCUUAGUUGCUUGGUGUUGGGAGCUUAUCUUGCCGAAAGGCGGGACAACUCCUUAAAUUUGUCGGCGGAGUCGCGGUGACCCCAAGCGUAGUAAAUUAUUUUUUCCUCGCUUUAGGUGUUAACGCUGGCUUUUCUAGCCGUUAAACCCCCCCUAAUAUUUUAAUGGUUGACCUCGGAUCAGGUAGGACUACCCGCUGAACUUAAGCAUAUCAAUAAGCGGAGGA